GAUGAACGCUGGCGGCAUGCCUAAUACAUGCAAGUCGAACGAGGCACUUGUGCCUAGUGGCGAACGGGUGAGUAAGACAUAAGCAAUCUACCUUUUCACGUGGGAUACCUGAUGGAAUCAUGAGUUAAAACCACAUAGGUAAUUGAGAGGCAUCUAAUGAUUAUUAAAGGAGCGAAUGCUCUGGGAGAAGAUGAGCUUAUGGCGCAUUAGCUAGUUGGUAAGGUAACGGCUUACCAAGGCAACGAUGCGUAGCCGGCCUGAGAGGGGGAACGGCCACAAUGGGACUGGGACAAGGCCCAGACUCCUACGGGAGGCAGCAGUAGGGAAUUUUCGGCAAUGGGGGGAACCCUGACCGAGCAAUGCCGCGUGAAGGAAGAAGGUUUUCGGAUUGUAAACUUCUGUUAUAUGGGAAGAAUAAAGCUUAUAGGGAAAUGAUAAGCAGAUGACGGUACCAUAUGAGAAAGCCACGGCUAACUACGUGCCAGCCGCCGCAGUAACAC
rnacentral:rRNA from 1 species